UCGAGUUCGCAUGUUCGCAUCGCAACAGAACUUUUUUGAAAUUUUGCGAAGCAACGAAGUGAAACGCAAAUUACAGUUCGUAAAAUUGCAUGUACAAAAUUUCAAAACGUAAAACUUCCGUACCUAAUGACGAGAUUUAAAGAGUUUUAAAGAGUAAUUUGCGAACUAAAUACUAGCCUUGGAAAUGCACAAUUUCCAAGCCAAAAUUUUUUGCGAACUUUAUUUUUUUGCGUUGCUCACUAUGCGAACUCGAAAUGAAUACCCUCAGAGAUACAGUAUAAAAUUUAAGGAUUUGCUAACACUCAUAAAAUUAGAAUAAGUGGGAACAUAACCUUUACACAUACAUUUAGGCUUAUUCCUGUUUGCACGAUUUUGGAGGAUUUACUUUCACGCAAUGUCGACCUGCAUAUUAAAGCGCACUAUUUGGUUUUCGGUAAGAGGGAACUGUGACAACUGGCGGAUCAAGAUAUUUUGACAGGAUGUCGCACAAAAUGCAAUUGCUGCGAAACACCCAGAAUUUCAACUUGAAAGAAACGACGCGAAUCCCGCCCUGAAUUAUCUGGAGGUCAAUUACAUCUCCCCCGAAGGAGUGAGAAUUCAUCCCAAUGUCGUGGCCAUUAACAAAUCAAUUCAACCAACGGAUAGUAAGUCGCAACUUAAAAAGUUCAAGAUUUUGAUUAGUAGGUUUGUGAAGGAAGAUUGGGCGUACUCACGACAAAUUCUGAUUUCGCAUUGCAACUCAUCUAGCAAACUUGUGAAAAUCAAAAUAUUUCGUUCGUGAGGGGAUUCGCAAAAUAUGACUUUGCAAAUCUCGCCAAUCUACUAAAAACACAUAUUCCCCAAGAAAAUUUAUGGCUGGUAAAAUAAUUCUUACCAGUUAUUAAUAAUUUCAACACCUGUUCGUUCCGACGGUAGAAAAGUAUUACCAGUGCGUAGAAAAUUAUAAGCAACUAAUCGUUUAAAAAUUGCUUUCAAUGUUAACAGUAAGUUAACACAGUUUGGUAAUUAUGAACGUAUUCAAGUCAACCUUCGCAUAACUUGCAAAUUGAGCAUAGCAACAUAACUUGCCAAGUUUUGCGAGAUUUCGCAAAAAAUUUUGCUGGAAACCAUACGAUUUUUUUCGCAAAUUUACCAAGCAAAUGGACAUGUUCUUAUUUCGCAAGCUUACAUGUUUCACAAACGCAUCGUCGCCAUCUCCAGCAAGAGAAAUUACAGAAAUCCACGGUGUUCCCAUCUUGCACUAAUCCUAAAUAUUACACGCCUAGGGCUGCCAAAUCCGGAUACUUCUAAUUCGAAAAAUCCGGAUUUUUAGGAUUUCGAAUUAUCCGAAAUCGGGAAUGAAUUUUGGAAUGAAUCCGGAUUUC